UACGAAGGGGGCUAGCGUUGUUCGGAUUUACUGGGCGUAAAGCGCACGUAGGCGGAUCGUUAAGUCGGGGGUGAAAUCCUGGAGCUCAACUCCAGAACUGCCUUCGAUACUGGCGAUCUUGAGUCCGGAAGAGGUGAGUGGAACUCCUAGUGUAGAGGUGGAAUUCGUAGAUAUUGGGAAGAACACCAGUGGCGAAGGCGGCUCACUGGCUCGGUACCGACGCUGAGGUGCGAAGCGUGGGGAGCAAACAGG
rnacentral:misc_RNA from 1 species